AUGGGACCUGGCGGACCUGGAGGGCCUGGUGGUGGACCCGGUUGGGGCCCGGGAGGGCCCGGUGGUGGACCUGGUUGGGGCCCUGGCCCAGGAGGACCUGGUUGGGGUCCUCCUGGACCCGGGGGCUUCUUUGGUGGAUGUGCUAACGGUUUAUGCAGCAUGAUAUCUUCAUGCUUCUACUGCUUAUGCUGUUGCUGGUUGGUGCGAGAUUGCUUCGGUGGUCCACCACCACGAGGCCCUUUCUAG